UACAGAGGGGGCAAGCGUUGUUCGGAAUUACUGGGCGUAAAGGGCGCGUAGGCGGCCUCUUAAGUCGAACGUGAAAUCCCCGGGCUCAACCCGGGAACUGCGUCCGAUACUGGGAGGCUUGAAUCCGGGAGAGGGAUGUGGAAUUCCAGGUGUAGCGGUGAAAUGCGUAGAGAUCGGGAGGAACACCGGCGGCGAAGGCGGCUGCCUGGACCAGUCCUGACGCUGAGGCGCGAAAGCUAGGGGAGCAAACAGGG
rnacentral:rRNA from 1 species